AGCUUUGCGCAGUAGCAGUAUUGUAGCCAAUGAGGUUUAUCUGAGGCGCGAUUAUUGCUAAUGUUCAGGUUCCUAUUGACCAAUUCCAUCACCUAAACCAGUGUUUCUCAACCUUGGCAACUUGUGGACUUCAACUUCUAGA